rnacentral:rRNA from 1 species
UACGAAGGGGGCUAGCGUUGCUCGGAAUUACUGGGCGUAAAGCGCACGUAGGCGGAUUGUUAAGUCGGGGGGUGAAAUCCUGGAGCUCAACUCCAGAACUGCCUUCGAUACUGGCGAUCUCGAGUUCGGGAGAGGUAAGUGGAACUGCGAGUGUAGAGGUGAAAUUCGUAGAUAUUCGCAAGAACACCAGUGGCGAAGGCGGCUCACUGGCCCGAUACUGACGCUGAGGUGCGAAAGCGUGGGGAGCAAACAGG